rnacentral:rRNA from 1 species
GACGAACGCUGGCGGCGUGCUUAACACAUGCAAGUCGAACGGUAAGGCCCUUCGGGGUACACGAGUGGCGAACGGGUGAGUAACACGUGGGUGAUCUGCCCCUCACUUCGGGAUAAGCCUGGGAAACUGGGUCUAAUACCGGAUGGGACUCCUGGCCUCACCGUCGGCGGUGCAAAGUGUUUGCGGUGUGUGACGGGCCCGCGGCCUAUCAGCUUGUUGGUGGGGUAAUGGCCUACCAAGGCGACGACGGGAUAGCCGGCCUGGGAGGGUGACCGGUCACACUGGGACUGAGAUACGGCCCAGACUCCUACGGGAGGCAGCAGUGGGGAAUAUUGCACAAUGGGCGCAAGCCUGAUGCAGCGACGCCGCGUGAGGGAUGACGGCCUUCGGGUUGUAAACCUCUUUCAGCUAUGACGAAGCGCAAGUGACGGUAGUAGCAGAAGAAGGACCGGCCAACUACGUGCCAGCCGCCGCCGUAA